rnacentral:lncRNA from 1 species
AGUGUUGGAUUUGAAGGAAGAAGCCCCAGGAGCUGCUGAGAGCUGUUUUAUAACCAUGAGCCAUGUAAAAUGUGCCUCCUUCGUCUUCUCAUUCUGCCAUGAUUGUAAGUUUCCUGAGGUCUCCCCAGCCACGCUUCCUGAACAGCCUGCGGAACGUUAAUCGCCAGACAAUCCAGAUGAUGCUCCUGCUACAAUGACGCAAUGAUACCAACCCGUCUCUCAAGAACGCCCCCAAAAAUUAAAGUUUUCUUUUUCCAAGGUGCCCAUGCCACCCCCUGUGUCACGCCUGAAGUAGUUAUUGAGCCCAGUCCCAAGGCACAAGACCACUUGUGCCAGCAGCCAGCAGCGUGCAUCAGCAAGACAGCAGAAGCAGGAAGACAGCCUGCUGGAAGACACUUACCCUGGCCGGAAGACAUGUACCCCUGAAGAUGGAGAAAGAGGCCUUCCGGGUACUACGUAGCAGUCACGUCAGACCGGGACACUUCCUGUUUAGAGAGGACUAUAAAACUCCGGUCCGGUAAUCACUUGGGGCUGACGCCAUUUUAGGCCUCAUCCCGCCUGCACCCAGGCACUCAUUAAAACAGCGUGUUGCCCCA